GGGGAUGACCAUAGCUCAGUGGUAGAGCAUCUGCCUUGCAUGCAGAAGGUCCCAGGUUCAACCCCAACAUUUCCCCA